rnacentral:rRNA from 1 species
GACGAACGCUGGCGGCGUGCUUAACACAUGCAAGUCGAACGGAAAGGCCCUGCUUUUGUGGGGUGCUCGAGUGGCGAACGGGUGAGUAACACGUGAGUAACCUGCCCUUGACUUUGGGAUAACUUCAGGUAACUGGGGCUAAUACCGGAUAGGAGCUCCUGCUGCAUGGUGGGGGGUGGAAAUUUUCGGCGGUUGGGGAUGGACUCGCGGCUUAUCAGCUUGUUGGUUGGGUAGUGGCUGACCAAGGCUUUGACGGGUAGCCGGCCUGAGAGGGUGACCGGCCACAUUGGGACUGAGAUACGGCCCAGACUCCUACGGGAGGCAGCAGUGGGGAAUAUUGCACAAUGGGCGGAAGCCUGAUGCAGCAACGCCGCGUGCGGGAUGACGGCCUUCGGGUUGUAAACCGCUUUCGCCUGUGACGAAGCGUGAGUGACGGUAAUGGGUAAAGAAGCACCGGCUAACUAGGUG